UUCUUUGUAGCUUAUUGUAUUAAAGCGUGAGGUUUUUAACCUUAAAAAGCAGUUGUUGUCAAAGAAU
rnacentral:tRNA from 1 species